UACAGAGGUCUCAAGCGUUGUUCGGAUUCAUUGGGCGUAAAGGGCGCGUAGGCGGCGGGGUAAGUCGGGUGUGAAAUCUCAGAGCUCAACUCUGAAACUGCACUCGAUACUGCUCUGCUUGAGGACUGGAGAGGAGACUGGAAUUCACGGUGUAGCAGUGAAAUGCGUAGAUAUCGUGAGGAAGACCAGUGGCGAAGGCGGGUUGCUGGGCUGAUACUGACGCUGAGGCGCGAAAGCCAGGGGAGCGAACGGG
rnacentral:rRNA from 1 species